CGCAUGACAGAUGAUAUUCUUAGUGUCAUCACCAUGGCUGUAAGAAAUAUACAGAAAAAACCAUUUGCUCUGAAGCGUGUACCGUGCCCAAAACAACCGAAUGCAGUAGAAUGUGGAUACUAUGUCAU